GGGUUGUGAGGUUAAGCGACUAAGCGUACACGGUGGAUGCCCUGGCAGUCAGAGGCGAUGAAGGGCGUGCUAAUCUGCGAUAAGCGCCGGUAAGGUGAUAUGAACCGUUAUAACCGGCGAUACCCGAAUGGGGAAACCCAGUGUGAUUCGUCACACUAUCAUUAACUGAAUCCAUAGGUUAAUGAGGCGAACCGGGGGAACUGAAACAUCUAAGUACCCCGAGGAAAAGAAAUCAACCGAGAUUCCCCCAGUAGCGGCGAGCGAACGGGGAGGAGCCCAGAGCCUGAAUCAGCAUGUGUGUUAGUGGAAGCGUCUGGAAAGGCGCGCGAUACAGGGUGACAGCCCCGUACACAAAAGCGCAUGUGCUGUGAGCUCGAUGAGUAGGGCGGGACACGUGGUAUCCUGUCUGAAUAUGGGGGGACCAUCCUCCAAGGCUAAAUACUCCUGACUGACCGAUAGUGAACCAGUACCGUGAGGGAAAGGCGAAAAGAACCCCGGCGAGGGGAGUGAAAAAGAACCUGAAACCGUGUACGUACAAGCAGUGGGAGCACAGGUUUACCUGUGUGACUGCGUACCUUUUGUAUAAUGGGUCAGCGACUUAUAUUCUGUAGCAAGGUUAACCGAAUAGGGGAGCCGCAGGGAAACCGAGUCUUAAUUGGGCGUUAAGUUGCAGGGUAUAGACCCGAAACCCGGUGAUCUAGCCAUGGGCAGGUUGAAGGUUGGGUAACACUAACUGGAGGACCGAACCGACUAAUGUUGAAAAAUUAGCGGAUGACCUGUGGCUGGGGGUGAAAGGCCAAUCAAACCGGGAGAUAGCUGGUUCUCCCCGAAAGCUAUUUAGGUAGCGCCUCGUGAAUUCAUCUCCGGGGGUAGAGCACUGUUUCGGCUAGGGGGCCAUCCCGGCUUACCAACCCGAUGCAAACUGCGAAUACCGGAGAAUGUUAUCACGGGAGACACACGGCGGGUGCUAACGUCCGUCGUGAAGAGGGAAACAACCCAGACCGCCAGCUAAGGUCCCAAAGUCAUGGUUAAGUGGGAAACGAUGUGGGAAGGCCCAGACAGCCAGGAUGUUGGCUUAGAAGCAGCCAUCAUUUAAAGAAAGCGUAAUAGCUCACUGGUCGAGUCGGCCUGCGCGGAAGAUGUAACGGGGCUAAACCAUGCACCGAAGCUGCGGCAGCGACGCUGAUGCGUUGUUGGGUAGGGGAGCGUUCUGUAAGCCUGUGAAGGUGUGUCGUGAGGCAUGCUGGAGGUAUCAGAAGUGCGAAUGCUGACAUAAGUAACGAUAAAGCGGGUGAAAAGCCCGCUCGCCGGAAGACCAAGGGUUCCUGUCCAACGUUAAUCGGGGCAGGGUGAGUCGACCCCUAAGGCGAGGCCGAAAGGCGUAGUCGAUGGGAAACGGGUUAAUAUUCCCGUACUUGGUGUUACUGCGAAGGGGGGACGGAGAAGGCUAUGUUGGCCGGGCGACGGUUGUCCCGGUUUAAGCGUGUAGGUGUGUGUUCCAGGUAAAUCCGGUUCACUUUAACACUGAGGCGUGAUGACGAGGCACUACGGUGCUGAAGCAACAAAUGCCCUGCUUCCAGGAAAAGCCUCUAAGCAUCAGGUAACAUCAAAUCGUACCCCAAACCGACACAGGUGGUCAGGUAGAGAAUACCAAGGCGCUUGAGAGAACUCGGGUGAAGGAACUAGGCAAAAUGGUGCCGUAACUUCGGGAGAAGGCACGCUGACACGUAGGUGAAGUGAUUUACUCAUGGAGCUGAAGUCAGUCGAAGAUACCAGCUGGCUGCAACUGUUUAUUAAAAACACAGCACUGUGCAAACACGAAAGUGGACGUAUACGGUGUGACGCCUGCCCGGUGCCGGAAGGUUAAUUGAUGGGGUCAGCGCAAGCGAAGCUCCUGAUCGAAGCCCCGGUAAACGGCGGCCGUAACUAUAACGGUCCUAAGGUAGCGAAAUUCCUUGUCGGGUAAGUUCCGACCUGCACGAAUGGCGUAAUGAUGGCCAGGCUGUCUCCACCCGAGACUCAGUGAAAUUGAACUCGCUGUGAAGAUGCAGUGUACCCGCGGCAAGACGGAAAGACCCCGUGAACCUUUACUAUAGCUUGACACUGAACAUUGAGCCUUGAUGUGUAGGAUAGGUGGGAGGCUUUGAAGUGUGGACGCCAGUCUGCAUGGAGCCGACCUUGAAAUACCACCCUUUAAUGUUUGAUGUUCUAACGUGGACCCGUAAUCCGGGUUGCGGACAGUGUCUGGUGGGUAGUUUGACUGGGGCGGUCUCCUCCUAAAGAGUAACGGAGGAGCACGAAGGUUGGCUAAUCCUGGUCGGACAUCAGGAGGUUAGUGCAAUGGCAUAAGCCAGCUUGACUGCGAGCGUGACGGCGCGAGCAGGUGCGAAAGCAGGUCAUAGUGAUCCGGUGGUUCUGAAUGGAAGGGCCAUCGCUCAACGGAUAAAAGGUACUCCGGGGAUAACAGGCUGAUACCGCCCAAGAGUUCAUAUCGACGGCGGUGUUUGGCACCUCGAUGUCGGCUCAUCACAUCCUGGGGCUGAAGUAGGUCCCAAGGGUAUGGCUGUUCGCCAUUUAAAGUGGUACGCGAGCUGGGUUUAGAACGUCGUGAGACAGUUCGGUCCCUAUCUGCCGUGGGCGCUGGAGAACUGAGGGGGGCUGCUCCUAGUACGAGAGGACCGGAGUGGACGCAUCACUGGUGUUCGGGUUGUCAUGCCAAUGGCAUUGCCCGGUAGCUAAAUGCGGAAGAGAUAAGUGCUGAAAGCAUCUAAGCACGAAACUUGCCCCGAGAUGAGUUCUCCCUGAGACUUUAAGUCUCCUGAAGGAACGUUGAAGACGACGACGUUGAUAGGCCGGGUGUGUAAGCGCAGCGAUGCGUUGAGCUAACCGGUACUAAUGAACCGUGAGGCUUAACCUUACAACGCCGAAG
rnacentral:rRNA from 1 species